UNAAUACUCCCUCCGUCCGGAAAUACUUGUCAUCAAAAUGGAUAAAAGGAAAUGUAUCUAGACGUAUUUUAGUUUUAGAUACAUCUCUUUUUAUCCAUUUUGAUGAUAAGUAUUUUCGGACGGAGGGAGUAGAAA
rnacentral:pre_miRNA from 1 species